AACGCGAAGAACCUUACCUGGUCUUGACAUGUACGGAAUCCUCCAGAGACGGAGGAGUGCCUUCGGGAGCCGUAACACAGGUGCUGCAUGGCUGUCGUCAGCUCGUGUCGUGAGAUGUUGGGUUAAGUCCCGCAACGAGCGCAACCCUUGUCAUUAGUUGCCAUCAUUUAGUUGGGCACUCUAAUGAGACUGCCGGUGACAAGCCGGAGGAAGGUGGGGAUGACGUCAAGUCCUCAUGGCCCUUAUGACCAGGGCUUCACACGUCAUACAAUGGUCGGUACAGAGGGUAGCCAGGCCGCGAGGUGGAGCCAAUCUCACAAAACCGAUCGUAGUCCGGAUUGCACUCUGCAACUCGAGUGCAUGAAGUCGGAAUCGCUAGUAAUCGCAGGUCAGCAUACUGCGGUGAAUACGUUCCCGGGCCUUGUACACACCG
rnacentral:rRNA from 1 species